GCCCCUCCUCGAGGCCAUAGGUGAGACUUGCCUUGACCUGCUGGGAGAAGAUAACCUGGGUAGUCUGCCCACAAGCUGCCCUACCCGCCCAUCCUCCCUGCGUUCCCUUCCGCGGUCCCCGUCCCUGCGCUGUUUCGCUGCCUGACCAUCCCGACCGUAUGCGCUCCUCUGCCCUCCUCGUGAACUGUCUGACAAUACUGAUGCACUGCACCAAAAUCUCCCCCUCCUUUCUCUGGUGCUGGUCCUCCGCCUCCCCCACUGGCUCCUGGACCGGCUCCUGCUCCUGUGCUCCUUCCCUCCACUGACCUUCUCCGUAUGCUGCGCCUGUAGCUGUCGCUGCGCUGUUCUCCACUAUCUCCGCCUCCUGCUUCAG